rnacentral:rRNA from 1 species
UACGUAGGGUGCAAGCGUUGUCCGGAAUUAUUGGGCGUAAAGAGCUCGUAGGCGGUCUGUCGCGUCUGCUGUGAAAACUCUGGGCUCAACCCAGAGCCUGCAUCCAAAACUGGCGGGCUAGAGUUCUGGAGGGGGUAGCGGAAUUCCUGGUGUAGCGGUGAAAUGCGUAGAUAUCAGGAGGAACACCGGUGGCGAAGGCGGCUACCUGGACAGAAACUGACGCUGAGGCGCGAAAGCUAGGGGAGCAAACAGG